rnacentral:rRNA from 1 species
CCUACGGGGGGCUGCAGUGGGGAAUUUUGGACAAUGGGCGAAAGCCUGAUCCAGCAAUGCCGCGUGAGUGAAGAAGGCCUUCGGGUUGUAAAGCUCUUUUGUUUGGGAAGAAAUCCCUAAGGAUAAUACCCUUGGGGGAUGACGGUACCAAAAGAAUAAGCACCGGCUAACUACGUGCCAGCAGCCGCGGUAAUACGUAGGGUACAAGCGGUAAUCGGAGUUACUGGGGGUAAUGCUGUAAGACAGGGGUGAAAUCCCCGAGCUCAACUUGGGAACUGCACUGGUGACUGCAAGACUAGAGUGUGUCAGAGGGAGGUAGAAUUCCACGUGUAGCAGUGAAAUGCGUAGAUAUGUGGAGGAAUACCAGUGGCGAAGGCGGCCUCCUGGGAUAACACUGACACUCAUGUACGAAAGCGUGGGGAGCAAACAGGAUUAGAUACCCUAGUAGUC